ensembl:lncRNA
AAACUGGAGAUCUAAAGAAGAACAAGUGUGACAGGCUAUGUCUAUGGCUACAUUAACAUCAACAGCUCAAAUUAAAUUUUUACCCAGCAGAUUUCUCACUGGAAUGUAAUAAAUCUCAGUUUGAAUGCUGCAGCGUUGAAGGAAAUAAGGAAGAAGGGAGAACAUUUACUGAACAGCAACUCCAACACAGUCACGUAAGAAAUUAA